rnacentral:rRNA from 1 species
UACGUAGGGUCCGAGCGUUGUCCGGAAUUAUUGGGCGUAAAGGGCUCGUAGGCGGUUUGUCGCGUCGGGAGUGAAAGCCUACAGCUUAACUGUGGGCUUGCUUUCGAUACGGGCAGACUUGAGGCAUGCAGGGGAGAACGGAAUUCCUGGUGUAGCGGUGAAAUGCGCAGAUAUCAGGAGGAACACCGGUGGCGAAGGCGGUUCUCUGGGCAUGUUCUGACGCUGAGGAGCGAAAGUGUGGGGAGCGAACAGG